rnacentral:rRNA from 1 species
AAAUUGAAGAGUUUGAUCAUGGCUCAGAUUGAACGCUGGCGGCAGGCCUAACACAUGCAAGUCGAACGGUAACAGGAAGCAGCUUGCUGCUUUGCUGACGAGUGGCGGACGGGGGAGUAAUGUCUGGGAAACUGCCUGAUGGAGGGGGAUAACUACUGGAAACGGUGGCUAAUACCGCAUAAUGUCGCA